UCUAAUAUGGCAGAUUAGUGCAAUGAAUUUAAGCUUCAUUUAUAAAGUAAAAAACUUUUUUUAGAA
rnacentral:tRNA from 1 species